UGGACAUAGUUUGACCCGCCAUGUUGUCGCUAAACAAAGCCACCGAAAAAUUCUUUUGAUAUGUGUCUCUUUUCGAACCCCAUCUUAUCCAGAUUAACGAUUCCAGUUUUUACCAAUUCCUUUUCGGCCGAAAAUAUUAUUUAUAGCAUCCAGAAGAAUUACUUUUUAAUGGAACUCCACAAUUGUUUGUACAUUCGCCAUGAAUAGCGCGGAUGAUGGUUGCCUAUAGCUACCACGGAUUGGGCUUAAAUAUCCACUUCAUCAAGAAAGCCCAUUUAAGACUUUUGAUGUCUCCCAAACCAUGGAAACAGGACCUUUUUGCAGAAACUCUGAUAUGAAGCAACGGCAAAGGAGGGCGGUGAAGAAUUAAAAGAUACCUGAACAAAUAAACGGGUCAAAUAUUAGUC
rnacentral:lncRNA from 1 species